rnacentral:rRNA from 1 species
CUCCUACGGGAGCCAGCAGUGGGGAAUAUUGCACAAUGGGCGCAAGCCUGAUGCAGCAACGCCGCGUGCGGGAUGACGGCCUUCGGGUUGUAAACCGCUUUCAGCAGGGACGAAGCUUUUUGUGACGGUACCUGCAGAAGAAGCACCGGCUAACUACGUGCCAGCAGCCGCGGUGAUACGUAGGGUGCGAGCGUUGUCCGGAUUUAUUGGGCGUAAAGGGCUCGUAGGCGGUUGAUCGCGUCGGAAGUGGAAACUUGAUGCUUACGUUUGAGCGUGCUUUCGAUACGGGUUGACUUGAGGAAGGUAGGGGAGAAUGGAAUUCCUGGUGGAGCGGUGGAAUGCGCAGAUAUCAGGAGGAACACCAGUGGCGAAGGCGGUUCUCUGGACCUUUCCUGACGCUGAGGAGCGAAAGCGUGGGGAGCGAACAGGCUUAGAUACCCUGGUAGUCCACGCUGUAAACGGUGGGUACUAGGUGUGGGGUCCAUUCCACGGAUUCUGUGCCGUAGCUAACGCAUUAAGUACCCCGCCUGGGGAGUACGGCCGCAAGGCUAAAACUCAAAGGAAUUGACGGGGCCCCGCACAAGCGGCGGAGCAUGCGGAUUAAUUCGAUGCAACGCGAAGAACCUUACCUGGGUUUGACAUGGAUCGGGAGCUUCCAGAGAUGGUUGUGCCUCUUUUGGGGUCGGUUCACAGGUGGUGCAUGGCUGUCGUCAGCUCGUGUCGUGAGAUGUUGGGUUAAGUCCCGCAACGAGCGCAACCCUCGUCCACUGUUGCCAGCAAUUCGGUUGGGGACUCAGUGGAGACCGCCGGGGUCAACUCGGAGGAGGGUGGGGAUGACGUCAAGUCAUCAUGCCCCUUAUGUCCAGGGCUUCACGCAUGCUACAAUGGCCGGUACAGUGAGUUGCGACAUCGUAAGGUGGAGCGAAUCUCAAAAAGCCGGUCUCAGUUCGGAUUGGGGUCUGCAACUCGACCUCAUGAAGUCGGAGUCGCUAGUAAUCGCAGAUCAGCAACGCUGCGGUGAAUACGUUCCCGGGGCUUGCACACACCGCCCGU